rnacentral:RNase_P_RNA from 12 species
AGAAAAAAAAAAAAAAAAAAAAAAAAACAUAAAAAAAAAGCGAUUGUGAACACCAUGCGUCUGUCUACAUUUCUACUCUACCAAUCUAUCUAUCUAUCUAUUUAUAUACCUAUCUAUCCAUCUAUCUAUCUAUGUAUUUGCGUGCAGAAAUAGACAAAAAGCAAAGAGGCGUUUCAUGC